GUGAGGCUCUCAGACUGGAAGAAUUUCAAUUUAAACAUUUAAAUAGAUCUCCUUUGCUGACCACCAUAGCACAGUUUCUUUUUAUUUCACUGGCAUGAAUGACGAGGAUAAUCCAGUUGGGCCUAUAUAAGAACGGUGGGCGGCCGUCUGUAACAGCACCCAGGCGGAUCGGUCAAAUCUCUCAGGACCUUCAGCCAAAUUGGUGAAUUUGAACAUGAACCGUUCACUGGGGAUCGACUUUAUUGUCGAUGUUGCUGUCGCAAUAGUUGUCAUCAUCAUGGCGCCCAACGAAGCUGCUGCCAUAGACGGCGAUUUUGUCAAUCCGUUGGGCCGCAAGAAGUGAACCAAUGCUAACGGAGAUGAAGUCGUUCCUCUUUUUCGACUCGCAUGAAUUCUCACUCAUGUGGAAUAAAAUAGUUUAGCAAACACGAAAGGGCUCCUGCUUGCACAAGU